rnacentral:rRNA from 1 species
AAGUAGCUUGCUACUGGACCUAGCGGCGGACGGGUGAGUAAUGCUUAGGAAUCUGCCUAUUAGUGGGGGACAACAUCUCGAAAGGGAUGCUAAUACCGCAUACGUCCUACGGGAGAAAGCAGGGGACCUUCGGGCCUUGCGCUAAUAGAUGAGCCUAAGUCGGAUUAGCUAGUUGGUGGGGUAAAGGCCUACCAAGGCGACGAUCUGUAGCGGGUCUGAGAGGAUGAUCCGCCACACUGGGACUGAGACACGGCCCAGACUCCUACGGGAGGCAGCAGUGGGGAAUAUUGGACAAUGGGGGGAACCCUGAUCCAGCCAUGCCGCGUGUGUGAAGAAGGCCUUUUGGUUGUAAAGCACUUUAAGCGAGGAGGAGGCUACCGAGAUUAAUACUCUUGGAUAGUGGACGUUACUCGCAGAAUAAGCACCGGCUAACUCUGUGCCAGCAGCCGCGGUAAUACAGGGGGUGCAAGCGUUAAUCGGAUUUACUGGGCGUAAAGCGCGCGUAGGUGGCCAAUUAAGUCAAAUGUGAAAUCCCCGAGCUUAACUUGGGAAUUGCAUUCGAUACUGGUUGGCUAGAGUAUGGGAGAGGAUGGUUGAAUUCCAGGUGUAGCGGUGAAAUGCGUAGAGAUCUGGAGGAAUACCGAUGGCGAAGGCAGCCAUCUGGCCUAAUACUGACACUGAGGUGCGAAAGCAUGGGGA